GUGGGGAAUAUUGGGCAAUGGGCGCAAGCCUGACCCAGCAACGCCGCGUGAAGGAAGAAGGCUUUCGGGUUGUAAACUUCUUUUACCAGGGACGAAACAAAUGACGGUACCUGGUGAAUAAGCCACGGCUAAGUACGUGCCAGCAGCCGCGGUAAUACGUAGGUGGCGAGCGUUAUCCGGAUUUAUUGGGUGUAAAGGGCGUGUAGGCGGGACAGCAAGUCAGAUGUGAAAACCAGAGGCUCAACCUCUGGCCUGCAUUUGAAACUGUUGUUCUUGAGUGUCGGAGGGGUAAUCGGAAUUCCGUGUGUAGCGGUGAAAUGCGUAGAUAUACGGAGGAACACCAGUGGCGAAGGCGGAUUACUGGACGAUAACUGACGCUGAGGCGCGAAAGCGUGGGGAGCAAACAGGAUUAGAUACCCUAGUAGUCC
rnacentral:rRNA from 1 species